UGUGGGCGUGGGCGGGUUCGGCGUCGGGGCUGAGGCCCCGGCCGACGGCGUUGAGGACGUCCCUCUCGGUGAGGAUGCCGAGGCCGCCGGC
rnacentral:tRNA from 1 species